GAACGCUGUUCGGUGCAGAUAUUAUUAUUACUGAUUGAUCAAUUGAAAAACAAAUGACAAUUUUAAUAUGACCAUUAUGAUGUGACAGAUCAACACUCACUGAAAAGGACCAACUACAUAGCAAGGAAAGAGGAGGCGGAGUAUUAAUUGCAGUCAACAACAAACUAAAGUCAGUUUGCAUCGGAGCGGGAGACCAAUUCGGAGCUGAACAAAUUUGGGUCAAAGUUACGGGUAUAAAAACAAACGAAUGAAUUACGGUGAAUGCUACGGCGAUUUCACUCAAAUAUGUGAGAUAGUGGUGAAUAGUUUCUGCUGACAAUUACUGCAAUAUUUAUAUUUUGUGUAACGAAAUUACCAGAUUCAACACUCAAGGUGUAUGAAAACAACAUGUAUGCCUUGAAAGAAGUCGCAUCGAAGUUGAAUACAAAUGAUGACCAUCUCAAUACAUAUUUGAAGAACAUCGUCCACGAAAGUCAACAUGGAUUCAUCAAGAACAGGUCAACGAUAACAAAUUUAGUAGAAUUUAGGAAGGAGACAUCAAACAGACGCCAUCUAUUUGGACAUAGCCAAGGCUUUUGACUCGGUUUUACUUAAAUUUACUUAUUCAAAAACUAGACUUCAUGGGAUUGAAUGAGCAGCUGUUAAAAUGGAUCAAAUCUUACUUGUCUGGUCGCAGACAAAUUGUAAAGAUAGCAGAUACCAAAUCAGACCCAAUUGAAGUUAUCUCUGGGACGGGUCAAGGAUAUCCCAUUGGUGCCACUUUGUUCAUCAUGUUUAUUAUUGAUCUACCUUUUGUCGUGACUAAUUCAUGCCUACUUUCAUUCGCUGAUGAUACAAAGAUUUCAAAAUGUAUCACCUCAACAGAUGAUUGCAUUAAUCUUCAAAAUGACUUGGAUCG